rnacentral:hammerhead_ribozyme from 1 species
AUGUAGCUGACGAGUCCCAAAUAGGACGAAAUACGCAUCCUGGAU